AGGGGUGUAGCUCAAUUGGCAGAGCAGCGGAUUCCAAAUCCGCGUGUUGGGAGUUCGAAUCUCUCCACCCCUGCCA
rnacentral:tRNA from 1 species